ACGAACGCUGGCGGCGUGCCUAAUACCUGCAAGUCGAGCGAACAGACGAGGAGCUUGCUCCUCUGACGUUAGCGGCGGCCGGGUGAGUAACACGUGGAUAACCUACCUAUAAGACUGGGAUAACUUCGGGAAACCGGAGCUAAUACCGGAUAAUAUAUUGAACCGCAUGGUUCAAUAGUGAAAGACGGUUUUGCUGUCACUUAUAGAUGGAUCCGCGCCGCAUUAGCUAGUUGGUAAGGUAACGGCUUACCAAGGCGACGAUGCGUAGCCGACCUGAGAGGGUGAUCGGCCACACUGGAACUGAGACACGGUCCAGACUCCUACGGGAGGCAGCAGUAGGGAAUCUUCCGCAAUGGGCGAAAGCCUGACGGAGCAACGCCGCGUGAGUGAUGAAGGUCUUCGGAUCGUAAAACUCUGUUAUUAGGGAAGAACAAAUGUGUAAGUAACUAUGCACGUCUUGACGGUACCUAAUCAGAAAGCCACGGCUAACUACGUG
rnacentral:rRNA from 1 species